UAAGGGGGGGGCUAGCGUUGUUCGGAAUCACUGGGCGUAAAGGGCGCGUAGGCGGCUAGGCAGGUCUGGUGUGAAAGCCCUCGGCUCAACCGGGGAAUUGCGCUGGAAACCGCUUGGCUAGAGUACAGGAGAGGAGGGUGGAAUUCCCGGUGUAGCGGUGAAAUGCGUAGAUAUUGGGAAGAACACCGGUGGCGAAGGCGGCUCUCUGGACUGUAACUGACGCUGAGGCGCGAAAGCGUGGGGAGCGAACGGU
rnacentral:rRNA from 1 species